rnacentral:antisense_RNA from 1 species
CACCUUCUCAUACCUGCACUGAACCAGCUUUGUCAUUCUGCCAGUAACCUCACUUAUGAGUUAAAUAAAAUCCUAACAUAUACUCCCAUUACAUUAAACAUUCACACUUUCAGAAGUCAGUGGUAGACAAGAAGCCUUUUAUUUUAAUUCACUGACAGACAAAUCAGCAAGCAAUUGAUGUGGGGACGAGAGAAGGGAGUUGAUAAUGGACUGAACAUUAGCAUCCCCCCCCAAAUUAAUAUGUUGAUGCCUUAACCCCCAAUGUGAUGGUAUUUGGAGGUGGAGUUGUUGGGAGAUAAACAGGUUUAGUUGAGUUCAUGGGGUGAGCCCAUGGGAGGACACAGCAAGAAGGUGGCAGCCUGCGAGCCAGGAUGGGAACCCUCACAAUGAAGCAAAGGUGCCAGCACCUUCAUCUUGGAAUUCCCAGAUUCUAGAACUGUACGAAAUAAAUGUCUGUUGUUUAAGCC